GGGGAGAUCCCAGCUACUAGAGGACGCCCGUUCCAAUGGCAACUCUGCCAAGGCGCCUAUGAGAGCCUCUUGGCUUUUACCUGGUCUGCGAGAAAUCAAACUUUGGGCACAAGUCAUGAAGCCGACAAGCCCGGGAGACACAGUGUCAGAAUUACAAGGUGAGAUCAGCCGCCCGGCCAAGCUAUCUUCUCGCUAGCAGGAACACUACAAGGCCUGUUAGAGAAGAAAGGGUAGAAUCCCGAGAAUGUUUUCCCCACAGUGCUGAUAAGGAGAGACCACUAUCCCAUCUACUGCUACAGCUCUGGAGACAGAGCUCUCCCACCUGUCAUAUAGAACACAAGGACCAAUCUGCAGAGAAAGAGCAUCCAAACCUGAUCCAGUGGACACUGGGGAAAAACUCACCACAGCUGAGUGUGGAAAAACAAGGCCAACACACACAUCUCUGCACAGAUACAUCUCCCAUAAAGAAACUAAAGUGUUAAUUUACAGGGCACUGUUGCAGACCCACUUCAGCUGGAAGCUAGGAACAUGGACAAGGAGCCUCUCUACCACCAAGGGAGAGAGAGGAAUGUGCUCUUGUCCUGGCAUUGCAUCCACAGGAGGGGCAGGAAAUUCUUUGAAGGUUUUCAGAUCUCAUGACUACUUUAUUUUGGAGUUGCCAGACUCAGCAAAUAAAAAUACACGACACACAGUUAAGUUUAAUAUUCAGAAAGAAAACUGUUGUGGCAAGUCAGGGACCCCAAACGGAGGGACCGGCUGAAGCCAUGGCAGAAGAACAAGGAUUGUGAAGAUUUCAUGGACAUUUAUUAGUUCCCCAAAUUAAUACUUUUAUAAUUUCUUAUGUCUGUCUUUACUGCAAUCUCUAAACAUAAGUUGUGAAGAUUUCAUGGACACUUAUCACUUCCCCAGUCAAUAUCCUUGUGAUUUCCUAUGCCUGUCUUUACUUUAAUCUCUUAAUCCUGUCAGCUGAGAAGGAUGUAUAUUGCCUCAGGACCCUGUAAUAAUUGCAUUAACUGCACAAAUUAUACAGCGUGUGUGUUUAAACAAUAUGAAAUCUGGGCACUUUGAAAAAAGAACAAGAUAACAGCAGUGUUUAGGAAACAAGAUAGAUAGCCUUAAACUCUGACUGCUGGUGAGCCGGGCAGAACAGAGCCAUAUUUCUCUUCUUUCAAAAGCAAAUGGGAGAAAUAUCGCUGAAUUCUUUCUCAUGAUGGAACAUCCCUGAGAAAGAGAAUGUGUGCCUGCGGGUAGGUCUCUGAACUGGCCCCCCUGGGCAUAGCCUGUCUCUUAUGGUCGAGGCUGCCGAGAUGAAAUAGACUCCAGUCUCCCACAGCGCUCCCAGGCUUAUUAGGAAGAGGAAAUUCCCGCCUAAUAAAUUUUGGUCAGACCAGUUGAUCUCAAAACCCUGUCUCCUGAUAAGAUGUUAUCAAUGACAAUGGUGCCCAAAACUUCAUUAGCAAUUUUAAUUUCGCAUCGGUCCUGUGGUCCUGUGAUUGCGCCCUGCCUCCACUUGCCUUGUGAUAUUCUAUUAUCCUGUUAAGUACUUGAUGUCUGUCACCCACACCUAGUCGCACACUCCCUCCUCUUUUGAAAAUCUCUAGUAAAAACUUGCUGGUUUUUGUGGUUUGUGGGCCAUCACAGAUCCUACCAACGUGUGAUGUCUCCCCCGGACGCCCAGCUUUAAAAUUUCUCUUUUGUACUCUGUCCCUUUAUUUCUCAAGCUGGCCGACACUUAGGAAAAAUAGAAAAAAACCUACGUGAUUAUCGGGGCAGGUUCCCCAAUAGAAAACAAAUAA
ensembl:lncRNA LINC02987 long intergenic non-protein coding RNA 2987